GGACAGCUCCUCUCGUCGAUCCGAAACGGUCUCGCUAUGACGGCGCACGGCUUAGCGUUGCCGAUGGUUCUCUUCUCCAUCUUCUGGGGGCUCGUGGGUUUUGCGGGUCCGUGGCUGGUGCCGAAGGGGCCCAAUCGCGGAGUGAUUAUUACCAUGCUGGUGACAACUGCUGUUUGUUGUUAUCUUUUUUGGCUUUUAGCAAUUCUUUCUCAAGCCAAUCCACUCUUUGGCCCUCAGCUAAAGAAUGAUACCAUCUGGUAUGUGCUCUUUCAGUGGGAAUGAUCAGGGCUGUUACAGACCAAUUUAAUAGGCUUCACCCAUGCCCUUUCCAGUUGAAAGUGUGAUGGAUCUUUUACAACCCAUUUCCACCGUAGUGACUAUCCCCUGCCUUCCAAUUUUAACUGAUACUUUGGCAUAUAUCAUCUUAAAUGUUUUUAUUAAGGACCCUCCCUUCGUAAUUGCAGUAAAGUAAUUGCAGUAAAGAGAGUAGGUGAAUUGCCGAGAUUUCCAGCUGCUGACCGUAGUCCAGGUAAUUACACAACAAUAUUGUGACUAGCAUUUCUGGAUCUAUUGCUUCCAAAAGGUGCGGAAGACCAUUUGAAUUUGUUCUUGCUAUAUAAAUUAUUGCACGAUGUAGAUUGCACAUGGUCAUCAAUUUCAUUGGGAGAUUCAUCAUCACUGAUGUCAGAAUCUCUGCCAGUGGCUGGUUCCUCAUCGUCCAUUGCAAAUUUUUUGUCACAAUCUGAUUCCACUUCACUCAGAUAGCUCUGUUUCUCCAUACCAUUUUAGAACAAUUUUUUCAAAGUUUGCAGCACCAAAUCGCACUCUUUUUGGUGAAAAACUUUGCCCCGACAUUAUAAAAAAAAUGUUAACAAAGAUCUGUGGUCAAAAUGACCGAAACUCAAAUUCAAAUGGCUCUACAGAAAACACCAAAUAACUGACGCAAGUGCAUACACUGCAUACACUCUUAUUGGUGGGAAAACAAGAACUAUUCACAACUGGAAUGGUCCAUUUCUAAAAAUAGGGGUGUUCCAGACAUUUUGGAAAACUGUUGCGGUCACUAUGGCUGAAGGUCUUUCAUUAUGGGUUAAAAUAAAAAAUCACUUGCCCCUGCUAAGCUCAAAUCUAUCCAGACAGGCAAGGACUUUUUAAAAAAUUGCUAGUCAAUUCAAGCCCCUCUAGACAGCCAGCUAAAUUGGGAUUUGGGGGGGGAGGGUGUUUCUGAUAAAUGCCUAUUCAGUCUCUUCUUAAAAGCCUCCAGUGAUGGGGCAUCCACAACUUCUGGAGUCAAUUUAAAUUUAAAACCUCUUUUAAAAAAAACACUCCCUCUGAUCAGCACAAGCCUCUCCAGGUAGCACCAAAAAAACCAAAAACAAACUCAGCACUGGUUGCAAAAUAACUGCAACUUGUUUGGCCAUGUGACCAGGGAGAAAAAACAAACCUUGCCAGUUUCAGGAAAUUGCAUUUCAUAAUGCAGAACGGCAAUGGGAAGCCAGUUUAAAAUGGCUACUGCUGCAGGAGUGGUUGAAUCCAAGUCACAUAGCUACAGAGGCUUCUUUUUAGAAUAUCUUUCCUGAAUAAAUUUGUUCUUGGGAAAAUUCACUAAAUGCACGGUCGUACCUGGGGGAUUACCUGUACUAGAAACAGAUGAAAUGCCCAAGGAAGGAGCAUCCCCAACGAGCCAUCCUUCAUCAUGCAUGUAAUUCUGACAGAAUCUCCAUGCUCUCUAUGUGCAAAAUUCAAUUCCUUGAAAACCAUAAGUGGGAAAAAGAAGGCAGAAUGUAGCAACCAAUUAUAGCUUCUUUUUCUUCUGGUUUUGAGAGUGUUUUUUUGUUCAAUGGAUCCUACAUUUUAAAACAUUGUCCUCUCUCAGCCACUGGUACAAGAAGCAGCCUCUAUUCAAAACAGAAG